CACGCCGUAAACGAUGGAUACUAGGUGUAGGGGGUAUCGACCCCCCUGUGCCGGAGUUAACGCAAUAAGUAUCCCGCCUGGGGAGUACGGUCGCAAGACUGAAACUCAAAGGAAUUGACGGGGGCCCGCACAAGCAGCGGAGCAUGUGGUUUAAUUCGAAGCAACGCGAAGAACCUUACCAGGGCUUGACAUCCCGAUGACCGGUACAGAGAUGUACCUUCCCUUCGGGGCAUUGGAGACAGGUGG
rnacentral:rRNA from 1 species